CUCGGCCCCUAUCACAGAGCCUCUCACACGUCCCCUCCCCUCCCCUGGCUCCCCGGUUGCUGGCGCUGGGGCUUCGCCUGUCUGCACGUCGAGACCACCAGCCAGCUGGGCGUCUGAGGCUGCCCGCCGCCCCCAGCCCUGCCUGCCCCGGGGUCUUCCAUGGCAAUGACAGGCUCAACACCUUGCUCGUCCAUGAGUAAUCACACAAAGGAAAGGGUGACAAUGACCAGAGUAACACUGGAGAAUUUUUAUAGCAACCUUAUUGCUCAGCAUGAAGAAGGAGAAAUGAGACAAAAGAGGUUAGAAAAGGUGAUGGAAGAAGAAGGCCUAAAAUUUUGAUGAAGAGAAACGACUCAGAAGGUUGUCACAUGCCCAGAAGGAAACAGAGUUUCUUCGUUUGAAGAGAACAAGACUUGGAUUGGAAGAUUUUGAAUCCUUAAAAGUAAUAGGCAGAGGAGCAUUUGGUGAGGUACGGCUUGUUCAGAAGAAAGAUACAGGGCACGUGUAUGCAAUGAAAAUACUCCGUAAAGCAGAUAUGCUUGAGAAAGAGCAGCAGGUUGGCCACAUUCGUGCAGAGCGAGACAUUCUAGCGGAGGCAGACAGUUUGUGGGUUGUGAAAAUGUUCUAUAGUUUUCAGGAUAAGCUAAACCUCUACUUAAUCAUGGAGUUCCUGCCUGGAGGGGACAUGAUGACCUUGUUGAUGAAAAAAGACACUCUGACAGAAAAGGAGACUCAGUUUUAUAUAGCAGAAACAGUAUUAGCCAUAGACUCCAUUCACCAACUUGGAUUCAUCCACAGAGACAUCAAACCAGACAACCUUCUCCUGGACAGCAAGGGCCAUGUGAAACUUUCUGACUUUGGCCUUUGUACAGGAUUGAAAAAAGCACAUAGGACAGAAUUUUAUAGGAAUCUGAACCACAGCCUGCCUAGCGACUUCACUUUUCAGAACAUGAAUUCCAAAGGGAAAGCAGAAACCUGGAAAAGAAAUAGACGUCAGCUAGCCUUCUCCACAGUAGGCACUCCUGACAACAUUGCUCCUGAGAUCGUCAUGCAGACCGGGUACAACAAGCUCUGCGAUUGGUGGUCACUUGGGGUAAUCAUGUAUGAGAUGCUCAUUGGCUAUCCACCUUUUUGUUCUGAGACCCCUCAAGAGACAUAUAAGAAGGUGAUGAACUAGAAGGAGACGUUGACUUUUCCUCCAGAAGUCCCCAUCUCUGAGAAAGCCAAGGAUCUAAUUUUGAGAUUCUGCUGUGAUUGAGAACAUAGAAUUGGAGCCCCUGGAAUUGAGGAAAUGAAAAGUAACUCUUUUUUUGAAGGUGUUGACUGGGAGGAUAUCAGAGAGAGACCUGCUGCAAUAUCUAUUGAAAUCAAAAGCAUUGAUGAUACCUCAAACUUCGAUAAGUUUCCAGAAUCUGAUAUUCUUAAGCCAACAGUGGCCACAAGUAAUCACCCUGAGACUGACUACAAGAACAAAGAUUGGGUCUUCAUCAAUUACACAUACAAGCGCUUUGAGGGCCUGGCUGCGAGAGGGGCGAUACCUUCCUACAUGAAAGCAACGAAAUAGUGCCCUUGUCAUGGAAUCUUAAGUGGAGUGGAGUUCUCUUUACUACAUCAUGGUUUUCCUCUCACACUCUUGAAAGUGCUUCCAAGAAGUUUAUGGAACCCACCAAUAUGUCAUAGUAAAAUCUCCUGAAAUGUGAUAGUAAGUGGAUUUUCUUCCAUCAUGCAUCUGAAAGCCGACAGAAUGACGACAGCCACUUCUAUUACAUCAUCCAUAAAGCUAUCCUGCUUCUUCAGAAGCAUCAUGAGCCAAUUUGGU